rnacentral:rRNA from 1 species
UUUAAAGAGAGUUUGAUCCUGGCUCAGGACGAACGCUGGCGGCGUGCCUAAUACAUGCAAGUCGAACGAACGGAGGAAGAGCUUGCUCUUCCAAAGUUAGUGGCGGACGGGUGAGUAACACGUGGGCAACCUGCCUGUAAGUUGGG